ACGCUCGACACCUACGUGAGGCAGCAGUGGGGAAUAUUGCACAAUGGGGGAAACCCUGAUGCAGCGACGCCGCGUGGAGGAAGAAGGUCUUCGGAUUGUAAACUCCUGUUGUUGGGGAAAAAGAGGAUGGUACCCAACAAGGAAGUGACGGCUAACUACGUGCCACAGCCGCGGUAAUCUGAGCGGGCUGGCAAGGC
rnacentral:rRNA from 1 species